UAUGUUUCCUGUGCAACCAGUUCUUCUGGCUCUUGUGUGGCCUUUCAAUUUAGCCGAUUAAACUGGCAGAAAAAUAACCCACCAAUUUUCUGCUGGUUUAGUGAGCAAGAUCAGUUCAGCAGAUGGUCAAAGCUGUGCUUCUUCAGGCCACCUCCAGGAACUGCACCAACUGUGUUUUCUGGCUUCUUUCUUCAGCCAGCUCCUGGCUAGACCAGAAAUCUGUGGUGCCUUGGAGCUGAUGAGUCAGGACAUCACAAGAGACAAGCCACUGACAGCUGUGGAGAUGAGGAGUUUUUACAACAUGAAGCUGCCACUCAAGUUUCUCAGCAGUUUGGAUAACUCACACAGGAAGGGUGAGUGGUAUUUUGUCUGCCAGAAAACAUCCCCAGUUCCCCCAACUUCAAAGAAGCCAGGGUUGGAUCCUGAUGGUCUGUUUUGCUUCUUUGUCACAAGCUCUGCUUUUCACAUAGUUAAAGUACUGCUUUACAAAUCUGUUUGUACAUGAUGAUAGUAUAAGAGGGUUGGGUUCGCUGGGUCAGGCUGAGCUGUGUUCAGCCUAAAGAAGACAUGAGGACAAAGGAAAACUGGACACAGACCCAAUCCUGGGAUCACUAAGCUGUUCUUCAUUAACCGUAGUUGCCCAUGGCCCCCAGUAUUUAUGGUUUAACAUAAUGGUGGGAUUUUGGCUAUAUCCUUUCCUUAGGAAUGCAUACAAGGGUCAGGCUGACUUCCAGGAUCUUUGUGAUGAUGAAUUGCUAGAAAA